UAGGGAAUCUUCCGCAAUGGGCGAAAGCUUGACGGAGCAACGCCGCGUGAGUGAUGAAGGUCUUCGGAUCGUAAAACUCUGUUACUAGGGAAGAACAAAUGUGUAAGUAACUAUGCACGUCUUGACGGUACCUAAUCAGAAAGCCACGGCUAACUACGUGCCAGCAGCCGCGGUAAUACGUAGGUGGCAAGCGUUAUCCGGAAUUAUUGGGCGUAAAGCGCGCGUAGGCGGUUUUUUAAGUCUGAUGUGAAAGCCCACGGCUCAACCGUAGAGGGUCGUUGGAGACUGGAAAACUUGAGUGCAGAAGAGGAGAGUGGAAUUCCAUGUGUAGCGGUGAAAUGCGCAGAGAUAUGGGGGAACACCAGUGGCGAAGGCGACUUUCUGGUCUGUAACUGACGCUGAUGUGCGAAAGCGUGGGGAUCAAACAGG
rnacentral:rRNA from 1 species